AUUUUUUGUGGGUUAGCUCUUGAAUUUCAUACAGCUCUCUUCAGUUACAAAGGUGUUGUUUUAACAGGAACUUUUCCAAGGCCCGAGUGAUAUCGCAUGGGUGUCCAAUUCAUUUGGGUCUGUGGGCAAUGAUCUGUGAAGGUUUCCAAGAGUGCUUUGAGCAAAAGUUAAAAGAUCCGGGGAAGGGAAAGGAGUGACUAAUAUAUUCACGGAAAAAAUUCCCUUGCACAUUCUUGGUUUCUGAAGACAUUUCCUAAGUGACAACAGACUUCAAGUAGGCAUUGUCUAGUUUAGGUUCUAAAAGUGUUUAAAGCCAAUGCGCUCCCCUGCAGUGGGUAUGCCGGGGGUUUCCCAAUAAACCACUUUUGUGGACAAGUUGGGGAAAUGGCAUUUAAUGUAUAGCAUUUUAAAGCAUCAAGUCACCAAGGCUGAAAAGGUAGGGAAGAGGAUCAAGUUCUACCUCGUCUUCAAAAGUACAUCUGAACAUCUGGAAAAGCCACAUGGGAAAAGAUUUCAUCGAAAAGUGAAGUUCAAUCAUUUGAGAAAGACAUUUCUGGCAUCUGGCACCACCUACCUUUCAAAUGGAGUUUGGAGAAAAGAACUUCCUUGGGAAGAAUGCAAUCAAUCUGCACCAUUCUUCUUCCAAAUUUUUUCAGCUGUGUGCUUUUGCUCACAGCACAUUUCCUUCCUCCAAGUUUGAAUAAGUCUCCCUUCCAGGAGUCCAUCCCCUUGUAUGAAUUCCAGGACACAUUUACUCAAUUCACGACUGGUGAGUGCUUGGUUAUUAUGUUUUGCUAUACAAGUAUAGUUUUCUUGGCUUACGAUUUUAUUCCUUAAUAUUUUUUCUCCAUUGUAAGCCUCAUUAAGAGAGGGAUGUGUAUCUGUUUUACUCCAUUUAUUAGCAUAUAAGAAAUUCCACAAAAAUGCCUGGAUUACUUAACCUGCACCAAGUACCAGUCUAGCCAAGAUAACACCAAUAAAUUAUCAACUCAAAGAGAAUGUUUUAACA
rnacentral:lncRNA from 1 species